rnacentral:pre_miRNA from 1 species
GAUUUCAAAUGAAAAAGUCAUCAAUAACAAAGUUGUAUAACUCAUCAAGAUCUAUAACUUCUAUUUUAGUCAUUUCUUCAUCCGAUAAAGUGAUUUGUAAUAUUGUUCACAAAAUGUACAUCUCUUAUAAAGUUGUAUAACUCAUCAAGAUAUAUAACUUCUAUUUUGGUCAUUUCUUUAUCCGAUAAAGUGAUUUGUAAGAUUGUUCACAAAAUAUACAUCUCUUAUAUAGUUUUUUGAACAAUAUUACAAAUCACUUUAUCAGAUGAAGAAAUGACCAAAAUAAAAGUUAUAGAUCUUGAUGAGUUAUACAACUUUGUUAUUGAUGACUUUUUCAGAUGAAAUU